GACGAACGCUGGCGGCGUGCUUAACACAUGCAAGUCGAACGGAAAGGCCCUGCUUUUGUGGGGUGCUCGAGUGGCGAACGGGUGAGUAACACGUGAGUAACCUGCCCUUGACUUUGGGAUAACUUCAGGAAACUGGGGCUACUACCGGAUAGGAGCUCCUGCUGCAUGGUGGGGGUUGGAAAGUUUCGGCGGUUGGGGAUGGACUCGCGGCUUAUCAGCUUGUUGGUGGGGGAGUGGCUUACCAAGGCUUUGGCGGAUAGCCGGCCUGGGAGGGUGACCGGCGACAUUGGGACUGAGAGACGGACCAGACGCGUACGGGAGGCAGCAGGGGGAAAUAUGGCACAAUGGGCGGAAGCCUGAUGCAGCAACGCCGCGUGCGGGAUGACGGCCUUCGGGUUGUAAACCGCUUUCGCCUGUGACGAAGCGUGAGUGACGGUAAUGGGUAAAGAAGCACCGGCUAACUACGUG
rnacentral:rRNA from 1 species